UGGUUUCUUACAGAGCUGAUCCUUUAUCCAACAUGGUUCUUACUUUCUCUACUAAAGAAGAUGCCAUUGCCUUUGCUGAAAAAAAUGGCUGGAGCUAUGAUGUCGAAGAGAAGAAGAUUCCAAAACCUAAAUUCAAGUCUUACGGUGCAAACUUUUCUUGGAACAAAAGAACAAGGGUGUCUACAAAAUAGGUUGGCAUUGGCUGUCUCUGACUGUGAAUAAAGUCAGCUGUGCUGUAUUUAUAGUCCAUGCAUAAUACAUCUCUUAAUCUCCUAAUAAAUUUAACCUUUAAACUACA